UGGUGACGUCGGUGACGUCGGUGGUGGCCUCGCUGUACCUGGCGCUGGUGUUGGCCUUCGGCCUCCGCGACCUCUGCCUCGUCUGCCUCAGCACCUACGCGGUCAACGCCGCGCUCCUCUUCCUCAACUACCGCCGCUGGCGGCGCUGCCAACGGCCCCCGGCCCUGAAACGGGAGUGACAAGAUGGCGGUGACAACAUGGCGGUGACAAGAUGGCGGUGACAAGAUGGCGGUGUCUGUAUGGUGACAAGAUGGCGGUGACAAGAUGGCAGUGUCUGUAUGGUGACAAGGUGGCGGUGACAAGAUGGCGGUGUCUGUAUGGUGACAACGUGGCGGUGACAACAUGGCGGUGUCUGUAUGGUGACAAGGUGACAGUGACAACGUGGCGGUGUCUGUAUGGUGACAACGUGGCGGUGACAAGAUGGUGA
rnacentral:lncRNA from 1 species